CCUACGGGAGGCAGCAGUGGGGAAUAUUGCACAAUGGGCGCAAGCCUGAUGCAGCCAUGCCGCGUGUGUGAAGAAGGCCUUCGGGUUGUAAAGCACUUUCAGCGAGGAGGAAGGUGGUGAACUUAAUACGUUCAUCAAUUGACGUUACUCGCAGAAGAAGCACCGGCUAACUCCGUGCCAGCAGCCGCGGUAAU
rnacentral:rRNA from 1 species